ACGGAAGGUAGCAGUGGGGAAUAUUGGGCAAUGGGCGCAAGCCUGACCCAGCGACGCCGCGUGAGUGAAGAAGUAUUUCGGUAUGUAAAGCUCUUUAAGCAGGAAAGAUCAUGACGGUACCUGCAGAAUAAGCACCGGCUAAAUACGUGCCAGCAGCCGCGGUAAUACGUAUGGUGCAAGCGUUAUCCGGAUUUGCUGGGUGUAAAGGGAGCGUAGGUGGUCUGGCAAGCCAGAAGUGAAAACCCGGGGCUCAACUCCGCGGAUUGCUUUUGGAACUGUUGGACUAGGGUGCAGGAGGGGUAAGUGGAAUUCCCAGUGUAGCGGUGAAAUGCGUAGAUAUUGGGAGGAACACCGGUGGCGAAGGCGGCUUACUGGACUGUAACUGACGUUGAGGCUCGAAAGCGUGGGGAGCAAACAGGAUUAGAUACCCUGGUA
rnacentral:rRNA from 1 species